GCUGUGAUGGCCGAGAGGUUAAGGCGUUGGACUUGAAAUCCAAUGGGGUUUUCCCCGCGCAGGUUCAAAUCCUGCUCACAGCG
rnacentral:tRNA from 1 species